rnacentral:rRNA from 1 species
GAUGAACGCUGGCGGUAUGCUUAACACAUGCAAGUCGAACGAAAUACGAUGGGGUUUACUCUAUCGUAUGGCAGUGGCGGACGGGUGCGUAACGCGUAAGAACUUACCUUUUGGCGAGGGACAACCGCGGGAAACUGCGGCUAAUACCUCAUAGAGCUGAGGAGCGAAAGGUGAAAACCACCAAAAGAGAGGCUUGCGUCUGAUUAGCUAGUUGGUGAGGGUAAUGGCCUCCCAAGGCGACGAUCAGUAGCUGGUCUGAGAGGAUGAUCAGCCACACUGGAACUGAGACACGGGUCCAGACUCCUACGGGAGGCAGCAGUGAGGAAUUUUGGACAAUGGGCGCAAGCCUGAUCCAGCAAUGCCGCGUGCAGG